UGGGGAAUUUUGGACAAUGGGGGCAACCCUGAUCCAGCCAUCCCGCGUGUGCGAUGAAGGCCUUCGGGUUGUAAAGCACUUUUGGCAGGGAAGAAAUGGGACGGGCGAAUAACCCGGCUCGAUGACGGUACCUGCAGAAUAAGCACCGGCUAACUACGUGCCAGCAGCCGCGGUAAUACGUAGGGUGCAAGCGUUAAUCGGAAUUACUGGGCGUAAAGCGUGCGCAGGCGGUUCGGAAAGAGAGGUGUGAAAUCCCAGGGCUUAACCUUGGAACUGCACUUCUAACUACCGGGCUAGAGUACGUCAGAGGGGGGUAGAAUUCCACGUGUAGCAGUGAAAUGCGUAGAGAUGUGGAGGAAUACCGAUGGCGAAGGCAGCCCCCUGGGAUGAUACUGACGCUCAUGCACGAAAGCGUGGGGAGCAAACA
rnacentral:rRNA from 1 species